GGAGAUUGUUGGAUGUAUGUCUUAGAAGCCAAUCUUGGCUGACACAUAUCAUAUUUCUAGGACAUGAUUUUAUACUUGAUGGAUCGUUUAUUUUCAUUCAUAUUAUAUAUGUAUCCAUGAAUCAUCCAAGAGAUUAACAAGAUGAUGAUACAUAUUUUCAAAGAAUUGAGAAUUUGAGGCAUGUGUAUUGAUGGUUAAUUCUUAAACUGCUCCC
rnacentral:lncRNA from 1 species